GGGGAAUCUUCCGCAAUGGGCGCAAGCCUGACGGAGCAACGCCGCGUGAGUGAAGAAGGUUUUCGGAUUGUAAAACUCUGUCCAAAGGGAAGAACGAAUGACGGUACCUUUGGAGGAAGCCCCGGCUAACUACGUGCCAGCAGCCGCGGUAAAACGUAGGGGGCAAGCGUUGUCCGGAAUUACUGGGCGUAAAGGGCGUGUAGGCGGCCCGCGCAAGUCAGUCGUGAAACCCACCGGCUCAACUGGUGGCUUGCGAUUGAAACUGCCGGGCUUGAGUACAGAAGAGGGGAGUGGAAUUCCCAGUGUAGCGGUGAAAUGCGUAGAUAUUGGGAGGAACACCAGUGGCGAAAGCGGCUCCCUGGCCUGUAACUGACGCUGAGGCGCGAAAGCGUGGGUAGCAAAC
rnacentral:rRNA from 1 species